rnacentral:rRNA from 1 species
CCCUUAGAUGUCCUGGGCCGCACGCGCGUUACACUGAUGCAUUCAACGAGCUUAUAACCUUGGCCGAGAGGCCUGGGCAAUCUUGUUAACGUGCAUCGUGAUAGGGAUUGAUUAUUGAAAUUAUUAAUCUUGAACGAGGAAUUCCUAGUAAACGCAGAUCAUCAAUCUGCAUUGAUUACGUCCCUGCCCUUUGUACACACCGCCCGUCGCACCUACCGAUUGGAUGGUCCGGUGAAGCCUCGGGAUUGUGGUUCUUGCCGCUUUAUUGUGGCGUGACCGCGAGAACUUGUCUAAACCUUAUCAUCUAGAGGAAGGUGAAGUCGUAACA